rnacentral:rRNA from 1 species
AAGUCGAACGGCAGCACGGGGGCAACCCUGGUGGCGAGUGGCGAACGGGUGAGUAACACAUCGGAACGUGCCCAAUCGUGGGGGAUAACGUAGCGAAAGCUACGCUAAUACCGCAUACGAUCUACGGAUGAAAGCGGGGGAUCGCAAGACCUCGCGCGAAUGGAGCGGCCGAUGGCAGAUUAGGUAGUUGGUGGGGUAAAGGCUCACCAAGCCAACGAUCUGUAGCUGGUCUGAGAGGACGACCAGCCACACUGGGACUGAGACACGGCCCAGACUCCUACGGGAGGCAGCAGUGGGGAAUUUUGGACAAUGGGCGCAAGCCUGAUCCAGCCAUUCCGCGUGCAGGAUGAAGGCCUUCGGGUUGUAAACUGCUUUUGGACGGAACGAAAAGCCAUUUUCUAAUACAAGAUGGUCAUGACGGUACCGUCAGAAUAAGCACCGGCUAACUACGUGCCAGCAGCCGCGGUAAUACGUAGGGUGCAAGCGUUAAUCGGAAUUACUGGGCGUAAAGCGUGCGCAGGCGGUUAUGUAAGACAGUUGU